rnacentral:rRNA from 1 species
AUUGAACGCUGGCGGCAUGCCUAACACAUGCAAGUCGAACGGAGCGGCGGACGGGUGAGUAAUGCCUCGGAAUCUGCCUGGUAGUGGGGGAUAACUACCCGAAACGGGCGCUAAUACCGCAUACUCUCCGAUGGGCCGCUGUCGGCUUAGCUAGUUGGUGGGGUAAAGGCCUACCAAGGCGACGAUCCGUAGCUGGUCUGAGAGGAUGAUCAGCCACACUGGAACUGAGACACGGCCCAGACUCCUACGGGAGGCAGCAGUGGGGAAUAUUGGACAAUGGGCGAAAGCCUGAUCAAGCCAUGCCGCGUGUGUGAAGAAGGUCUUCGGAUUGUAAAGCACUUUUGGCAGGGAGGCGGUACCAACAGAAUAAGCACCGGCUAACUACGUGCCAGCAGCCGCGGUAAUAC